rnacentral:rRNA from 1 species
GACGAACGCUGGCGGCGUGCUUAACACAUGCAAGUCGAACGGAAAGGCCCUGCUUGCCGGGUACUCGAGUGGCGAACGGGUGAGUAACACGUGGGUGAUCUGCCCUGCACUUCGGGAUAAGCCUGGGAAACUGGGUCUAAUACCGGAUAGGAGCCAUUUUUAGUGUGAUGGUUGGAAAGUUUUUUCGGUGUAGGAUGAGCUCGCGGCCUAUCAGCUUGUUGGUGGGGUAAUGGCCUACCAAGGCGGCGACGGGUAGCCGGCCUGAGAGGGUGGACGGCCACAUUGGGACUGAGAUACGGCCCAGACUCCUACGGGAGGCAGCAGUGGGGAAUAUUGCACAAUGGGCGCAAGCCUGAUGCAGCGACGCCGCGUGGGGGAUGACGGCCUUCGGGUUGUAAACUCCUUUCGCUAGGGACGAAGCUUUUUGUGACGGGACCUAGAUAAGAAGCACCGGCUAACUACGU